GGGAGGGUUCUCGGUGAAGCCUGGAUCCCCCCCUCCGCCGCUCCCCCGCCCCCCGCCCCGCAAACCGCAAACAGGCACAGACGGGUAGUAUCCAGGGACAGGUGGGCAGAGCUGGGGCCAGUGCCUGGCGUCUGUCAGGGGUGUCCGCCAGGGCCCAUGCUUCCGGAGGCGGGGACAGCGGGAAGUCACAAAGUGUUCCCCGUGUCGCUUGACAGGUGUGGCCUGCUGGGCGGGAAUCCUGCCCCAGCACGCCGGUUCUCCCGGACAACCUGGGGUUGCAGCAGCCAUCAGUGCCUGGCCUGCCUGCCCGCCUGCCUCUCACCCGGAGAGGUCAAGGUGAGCCCGCAGAGAAAGCUCCGGUGUCUCUAGAAGCGGGCGAGCUGCGGAGCGCCCCCUCCCAGCGGUUGUCACGCUGGAAGGUGCGUGGGAACACCUGGAGGGCUCGUUCCAAGCCAGGUGGCCGCCGGGCCCCACCCCAGAGCCUCUGAUCCUGCAGCUCUAGGGUGGGGCCUGAGAGGUGGGGACUCCAGCAAGCUCCUGGGUGAUGCCCGUGCCACCGCCGCUGGUCCGGGGACCCCCCCCACCCCCCCGUGCGAAGCACUGCUCUGGAGGUGGUGGCUCCUAGGUGUGUGCCCCCUGCCCUACCCCGGACCGGCUCCUUUGCGGGGUCCCCAGGGCCUUGGGAAAUGGCGGGGGGGGGGGGGCCCCCCCCGGNCGCGAGAGCAGCGCGGCUGUCAUCGCCACCCCUCCCUGCCCCGGGGGCCCUGGAAGGUGCCUGGCCGCCCACCGCCCGCCCGGGCAGGAUGAGGCGUCAGGUCUGUGCAGGCGCUGGGCUGAUAACAUCUGGACGCUGGGAGGCGGGGGCGGAGAGGAGAGUUGGGCCUGGGGCCUGGAAGCUCUCCCUGCCGAGGCCCAGGCAGAAGAGCCGACUGCCCAGCCGGGCUCGGGGACGGGAGGGAACAUGCGCCCUGAGACCCAGAGUGCGGGUUUGGGGGCGUGUGGCGACGAGAUCGGGGCGGCGGCGGGGGGGGGGGGGGGGGGGGGNCCGGAAACGAGGCGCUGGCGGUCGUCUGGUCUGUGGGUGCGGCCAGCCCUCUCCGGCGGGUGGGAAGCCGCGGCCUUUCCUGCCGGACGCUCCUUCCUCACCAGGAGGGUCUCCCAGCCCCCGGGCGAUGCUGCCCGGACCUGCUCGAUGCCCAGCAGCACCGCCCACCGCCCACCGCCCACCCCCCGGGCCGGCCGGUCCUGGCAGCGGCUGGUCUUUGUCCGGCUCUGGGCCGGCCCGCUGUGCGGUGGGGGCGGCAGAGGAAGCGCCGCGCGUCUCCAGCCGGCAUUCGAGCCCAGGGUGCGCAGCUCCGGGACCCCAGCAGCCGAGCGAGUCCUGGCUGUGGGGUCGGACGGCGGGGUGGCCCUGGGCCCCCGUUUUCUGCAUUCCCCUCUUCCCCCGCACCCCCGGCGCCCCGUCAUCAUCAUCGGGCAUUUCCCUGACGGCGGGUUCAAGCUGGCUGUACGUCGUGAUAGGAGCCCUGAGUCACAUCUCGCUACUAUUUUUUCCCCGCUUUGUCACUCGUCUCUCUGUGGUGUGGGGUUUGUGCUUGGUCACACGAUUCCAGGGUUUGUGUCAUCGGACUUUGCAGGCUUUUCCGAAGGGCUUCUGGGGUUUCUCCGGGGCUUGUUGGCCUGCCACUGACUUAGCGGGGCGCCGCCUCCUUCGAAAGUCACCGAGCGUUCGUUACCCGUUGCUGCAUCACACGUCUACCCCCAGGAGCCGCGCAGCGCGGCCGGCGCUCGAGGCACGGUGCCGGUCUGAUGACUUCACCUCCAAGUGACCCUCCCUCCCCUCGGCUGGAUCUUGAUGGGUCACACAGGCCCAAGCCGGGAGCAGUGCAGGAGGGCCCGGCCAAUGAGAAGGCUCCAGGGAGCAUCCUUGCUCCUGAACCUGGCGCGGGAGGGGCUCCUGGUCCGCGCAGGCCCCUCGGGAGCGGGACCCUGUCCUCUGUCUGCGCGGGGGUGGCAGGUUCCAGCCCCCGGGACCAAGACAGGCAGGGCGUGUCACCCUUAGAUGGUCGCGGACAGGACACACGAAAAGCCAGAGAAAGAACAUGUGACCGAGCCCCUGCCUGGCCCCCACGGCCCGAGGUGUGUGCCCCCUGCCCUCUGCCCUUGCGGAGGAGCUGGCAGCCCUGGUGGCACAUGGACGAUCCCGGGGCUGGUUGGCACCUGGAGCCGCAGCUGCAGGCCUACGCCACAGCCGCAGCCAGGCCGGGUCCUUAACCCACUGAGC
rnacentral:lncRNA from 1 species